rnacentral:rRNA from 1 species
GACGUAGGGCGCGAGCGUUGUCCGGAUUUACUGGGCGUAAAGAGCGCGCAGGCGGUCGAUUUAGUCGUGUGUGAAAGCCCCCGGCUCAACUGGGGAGGGUCACGCGAUACUGAUCGACUCGAAGGCAGGAGAGGGUAGUGGAAUUCCCGGUGUAGUGGUGAAAUGCGUAGAUAUCGGGAGGAACACCAGUGGCGAAGGCGACUACCUGGCCUGUUCUUGACGCUGAGGCGCGAAAGCUAGGGGAGCAAACGGG